UGCAUCUUGUCGGAGUGCUUUAGGGCUGAGACCAUUUAAAUAUGGGAUCCGUGGAACCUGAUCAGGCUAAUACCUGCGUAAGGAAACAAGAGUGAUUAAUAC
rnacentral:ncRNA from 1 species